rnacentral:rRNA from 1 species
AUUGAACGCUGGCGGCAUGCCUUACACAUGCAAGUCGAACGGCAGCACGGGUGCUUGCACCUGGUGGCGAGUGGCGAACGGGUGAGUAAUGCACCGGAACGUAUCCAAUAAUGGGGGAUAACGCACCGAAAGGUGUGCUAAUACCGCAUACGCCCUGAGGGGGAGAGCGGGGGAUCGAAAGACCUCGCGUUACUGGAGCGGCCGAUGCCGGAUUAGCUAGUUGGUGAGGUAAAGGCUCACCAAGGCGACGAUCCGUAGCUGGUCUGAGAGGACGACCAGCCACACUGGAACUGAGACACGGUCCAGACUCCUACGGGAGGCAGCAGUGGGGAAUUUUGGACAAUGGGCGAAAGCCUGAUCCAGCCAUUCCGCGUGAGUGAAGAAGGCCUUCGGGUUGUAAAGCUCUUUCGCAAGGAAAGAAAACUCAUUUCCUAAUACGAGAUGAGGAUGACGGUACCUUGACAAGAAGCACCGGCUAACUACGUGCCAGCCGCCGCAGUAA